GACGUAGGGGGCCAGCGUUGCUCGGAAUUACUGGGCGUAAAGGGUUCGUAGGCGGUGUGGCAAGUCGGGAGUGAAAUCUCUGGGCUUAACUCAGAGGCUGCUUCCGAAACUGCCGUGCUAGAGUGCGGGAGAGGCGAGUGGAAUUGCAGGUGUAGCGGUGAAAUGCGUAGAUAUCUGCAGGAACACCCGUGGCGAAGGCGGCUCGCUGGACCGCAACUGACGCUGAGGCGCGAAAGCGUGGGUAGCAAACGGG
rnacentral:rRNA from 1 species